CGACUCAUAGCUCAGCUGGUUAGAGCGCCGCUCUGAUAAGGCGGAGGUCUGGGGUUCAAGUCCCUGUGAGUCGAC
rnacentral:tRNA from 2 species